CACCCUUAUAGUAAAUAUUUUUCAAUUCUUUAAAAAUAUAUAUAAUAAAUAGAAUUAUUUAAUUAAUAAUAAAUAGUAAAUUGUCUUUAUUAUUUUUUUAGCGGACAUGAAAAAAGAUAAGUCAAUAAUUAAAGUAGGGUGAAUAAAAUAUUUUUAAAGGACGCGUAAAUAAUAAACACGAAAAGUAAACGGAACGAAUAAAAUAAUUUAUUAAUUUAAUUUAAUAAUUAUUUAAUAUUCUUAUAGAUCACUAUUAAAUUAGUUUAUGUAAAUCUUCUAAAUUAAGGUUGUAACCAAUGUUUUAUAUACUGG
rnacentral:lncRNA from 1 species